CUUUAGGUGGUCAAAGAGGUUCUCAGGUGGUCAAAGAGGUUCUCAGGUGGUCAAGGAGCUCUUCAGGUGGCCAAAGAGGAGCUUUUGGUGGCCCAGAAGGUUCUCAGGUGGUCUAAGUGGUGGUCAAAGUGGCCCAAGAGGUCCCCAGGUGGUCAAAGUGGUGGUCAAGUGGUCAAGGAGGAGCUUUAGGUGGCCAAGGAGGUCCUCAGGUGGCCCAGGAGGAGCUUUAGGUGGCCCAGAAGGACCUUAGGUGGUCAAAGAGGUUCUCAGGUGGCCCAAGAGGUGGUCAGGUGGCCCAGGAGGUUCUCAGGUGGCCCAGGAGGAGCUUUAGGUUGCCCAGAAGGACCUUAGGUGGCCAAGGAGGUCCCCAGGUGGUCAAAGUGGUGGUCAAGUGGUCAAGGAGGAGCUUUAGGUGGCCAAGGAGGUCCUCAGGUGGUCAAGGAGUUUCUCAAGUGGCCCAAGAGGUCCCCAGGUGGUCAAAGUGGUGGUCAAGUGGUCAAGGAGGAGCUUUAGGUGGCCAAGGAGGUCCUCAGGUGGCCCAGGAGGAGCUUUAGGUGGCCCAGAAGGACCUUAGGUGGUCAAAGAGGUUCUCAGGUGGCCCAAGAGGUGGUCAGGUGGCCCAGGAGGUUCUCAGG
rnacentral:lncRNA from 12 species